AGUGAACGCUGGCGGUAGGCCUAACACAUGCAAGUCGAACGGCAGCACAGUAAGAGCUUGCUCUUACGGGUGGCGAGUGGCGGACGGGUGAGGAAUACAUCGGAAUCUACUUUUUCGUGGGGGAUAACGGAGGGAAACUUACGCUAAUACCGCAUACGACCUACGGGUGAAAGCAGGGGAUCUUCGGACCUUGCGCGAUUGAAUGAGCCGAUGUCGGAUUAGCUAGUUGGCGGGGUAAAGGCCCACCAAGGCGACGAUCCGUAGCUGGUCUGAGAGGAUGAUCAGCCACACUGGAACUGAGACACGGUCCAGACUCCUACGGGAGGCAGCAGUGGGGAAUAUUGGACAAUGGGCGCAAGCCUGAUCCAGCCAUACCGCGUGAGUGAAGAAGGCCUUCGGAUUGUAAAGCCCUUUUGUUGGGAAAGAAAAGCAGCAGGUUAAUACCCCGCUGUUCUGACGGUACCCAAAGAAUAAGCACCGGCUAACUUCGUG
rnacentral:rRNA from 1 species